rnacentral:rRNA from 1 species
UACGAAGGGGGCUAGCGUUGCUCGGAAUCACUGGGCGUAAAGCGCACGUAGGCGGCUUCUUAAGUCAGGGGUGAAAUCCUGGAGCUCAACUCCAGAACUGCCUUUGAUACUGGGAAGCUCGAGUCCGGGAGAGGUGAGUGGAACUCCGAGUGUAGAGGUGAAAUUCGUAGAUAUCGUAAGGAAGACCAGUGGCGAAGGCGGGUCUCUGGACAGUUCCUGACGCUGAGGCACGAAGGCCAGGGGAGCAAACGGG